rnacentral:lncRNA from 1 species
GACAGAGAUGACAGAUAUUCAAAGAUGGAAUGAAAGAGGUUUGGUGACUGGAUAUAAGCAACGAAACAGGAAGAAUUGAAUUUGGGUCUGAUAUUUCCUGGAUGCAAGAUCAGGAGGAUGUUGGCACCAUGGCUUAGUGGGGAAACUGGGGACCGAUUCUGGAGGUAUACCAGCAUGGGGGGUUGCCCAGUGGAAACACCAGACUGCAAAGCUUUGAGAAGUCUGUAUGAGAUGAACAACUGGAAAAGGUUCUUCGUGAAGAAUUUGUGUGGUGAAGAGCUGGAAUAGCGGCUUGAGGGAGAGAAGCCAGCACUAUUCACAAUAGCCAAGAUUUGGAAGUAACCCAAAUGUCCAUCAACAGACAAAUGGAUAAAGAAAAUGUGGUGCAUAUACACAAUGGAGUAGUAUUCAGCCAUAAAAAAGAAUGAGAUCUUGUCAUCUGCAACAACAUGGAUGGAACUGGAGGUCCUUAAGGUUAAGCAAAAUAAUCCAGGCACAGAAAGAAAACAUUGCAUGUUCUCAUCUAUUUGUGAGAACUAAAAAUUAAAACAAUUGAACUCAUGGAGAUAGAGAGUAGAAGGAUGGUUACCAGAGGCUGGGAAGGGUAGUGAGGGCGAGUGAGGGGGAAGUGGGGUGUUUAAUGUGUCCAAAAAAUGGUCAGAAACAAUGAAUAAAGUCUAAUAUAUGACAGCAAAAGAGUGUGACUAUAGUCAAUAAUAAUCGAAUGGUACAUUUAAAAAUAACUAAAAGUGUAUAUUUGGAUUGUUUGUAACAUAAAGGAUAAAUGCUUGAGGUGAUGGAUACCCCAUUUACCCUGAUGUGAUUGUUACACAUUGUAUGCCUGUAUCAAAGUAUCCAUAUACCCCAUGAAUAAAUGUAUAUACCUACUAUGCACCUACAAAAAUUAAAAUAAUAAAAAAAAGGAUUCCCCAUAUUUGCUACACUCA